rnacentral:rRNA from 1 species
AUUGAACGCUGGCGGCAGGCCUAACACAUGCAAGUCGAACGAGUGGCGGACGGGAGAGGAUUGUCCGGGAAACUGCCUGUUGUAGGGGGAUAACAUCUGGAAACGGUAGCUCAUACCGCAUACCAUCGGAUGUGCCCAGAUGGGAUUAGCUAGUAGGUGGGGUAAAGUCUCACCUAGGCGACGAUCCCUAGCUGGUCUGAGAGGAUGACCAGCCAAACUGGAACUGAGACACGGUCCAGACUCCUACGGGAGGCAGCAGUGGGGAAUAUUGCACAAUGGGCGCAAGCCUGAUGAAGCCAUGCCGCGUGGAUGAAGAAGGCCUUCGGGUUGUAAAGUACUUUCAGCGGGGAGGCGUUACCCGCAGAAGAAGCACCGGCUAACUCCGUGCCAGCAGCCGCGGUAAUAC